rnacentral:rRNA from 1 species
GUGGAUUAGAUACCCUGGUAGUCCACGCCGUAAACGAUGGAUGCUAGCCGUCAGCAAGCAUGCUUGUUGGUGGCGCAGCUAACGCAUUAAGCAUCCCGCCUGGGGAGUACGGCCGCAAGGUUAAAACUCAAAGGAAUUGACGGGGGCCCGCACAAGCGGUGGAGCAUGUGGUUUAAUUCGACGCAACGCGAAGAACCUUACCAGCCCUUGACAUGCCCGGACGGUUUCCAGAGAUGGAUUCCUCCUAGCAAUAGGUCGGGACACAGGUGCUGCACGGUCGUCGUCAACU